rnacentral:lncRNA from 1 species
GUGGCAUAGCUCCAGAAAGAGCUUCAUUUUGCCCAAGAGAAGAUCUCUAGACUUGAGCGCUCGAGAAAUACAACUAUUGAAUACAGAUCGAGGAAAAGUCACCCAGUGGUCACAAGAUCCCAAAGCUUGGUCGGACAAGGAUCAGCUGACCCCGCAUCUCCGGAUGAUACACUCCGACGCAUGUUCAAUGCAGGCGUGUAGGAAUUGAAUAGAAAU